UCACUUACCUGGACGGGGUCAAUGGGCGAUCAAAAAGGUCCAUGGCCUAGGUUGGUGACCUCCAUUGCACUUAGGAGGGGUGCCCGCCUAAGGUCGGCCCAAGUGGUCGAGCCUACGUCAUAAUUUGUGGCAGUGGAGGCUUGUGUUCGCGCAGCCUCUU
rnacentral:snRNA from 2 species